ensembl:lncRNA
GACUGAGGAGCUUUGUACAUGAUUCCAUCUGUGAAGGCUAGUUGAAAAAAAAUACUUUUUAUAUAGGCUGGGUGUGUGGCUCUCGCGGACUUACUAACUGCAAUAAUACCGAGAUAAACUGCAUAUCCAACAACAUUAACGUGAUGGGUGAGCUGGCCGAGAGACCCCGGCUGUUGGAAAUGAGCUACAUAUCCCUGAACCACACAAACUGCCUGAGCGCCGACAGACCGGAGGAUACAGCAGUCACCAUAGAUGAGACUUUACAGCGGCGACCACCGGACACCCACUCUGGGACUUAACCUGUGAUCUUCUGACCCAUCUCGAGAGAUAUAAAGCAGCGCGUUAGCUUGCAUUGCUUGCCCAAGUGGAUUUCACGAAUGGAAGCUCUCUCCACUGUUUUAUCACGUGCAGGUGGACUGUAAUACUUGUGUAAUGUUGGGCAAGAGAAGAAUUUAGAUAGUCUUUACUUGAAUGUUGGAGGAAUUGAAUGAUGAUGUUUGUAUCAUAUCGGCCUCUUUUCUGUGGAGAUUGCUAGUUUGAGCGGCUUCAGCUGUUUUUGGCCAAGGAGGCAGAGAGACUAACGUUUUUUGUGUUAAUGUGACAUAUGCAGUUCAGAGUAACAAAAAAACAACAAUUAAUCACUCUGAAUGUACAAUACACGCUGGUCACUGCUUACAGUUAUUGUAAUUAUUGUAAGAUUUGCGUCAAAACGCUUCCAAUGACACAGGAAGGCAUCAAAUGUUAACAACCUC